rnacentral:lncRNA from 1 species
GUCCCUGGUGAGGGCUCCACCCCCGGGCCUGUGCCCACGGACCUAGAGACCUUAACAGGCCGACACACAAGUGGCUGGACUUUGAGAGGACGUCUAGGGGAGCAUGCUGGUGGAAGAGCACACCGACAGACGCCAGCAGGCCAUCCACCAGCAGAACAACUCGAGUUUGGCUGGGGCAGUGGGAAGAGAGCCCAGGCCACGGAGCAGCCCGGCUCCAGGGUAAAACCAUCUGCCUACCAGCUCCCCCAUCUGCUGAGACCUACUUCCACUCAAUAAAACCUUG